AUUGAACGCUGGCGGCAGGCCUAACACAUGCAAGUCGAGCGAGCGGCGGACGGGUGAGUAAUGUCUGGGAAACUGCCUGAUGGAGGGGGAUAACUACUGGAAACGGUAGCUAAUACCGCAUACCAUCAGAUGUGCCCAGAGUGGGUUAUCUAGUAGGUUGGGUAACGGCUCACCUAGGCGACGCUCCCUAGCUUGUCUGAGGGGAUGACCAGCCACACUGGAACUGAGACACGGUCCAGACUCCUACGGGAGGCAGCAGGGGUGAAUAUUGCACAAUGGGCGAAAGCCUGAUGCAGCAAUGCCGCGUGUGUGAAGAAGGCCUUCGGGUUGUAAAGCACUUUCAGCGGGGAGGCGUUACCCGCAGAAGAAGCACCGGCUAACUCCGUGCCAGCAGCAGCGGUAAUUC
rnacentral:rRNA from 1 species